AUAAUUGUGACAUCAUUACCCAUUAUCCUGUUACUCUUCACGCUGAUUGGACGAUGAGGGGGGGUUCAGAAAAAUCGAAUUAAUUGAGGUAAGGUUAGCCGCAGGAUCGCAAAAAUACAGUGACUGAGGCUCUGAAUCGUAGCACAGAUUCAAGGCAAUGACCUCCACCUGCCAGCCGGAGACAACAGUUGGAGACAUGCCGCAGGUGAGAGUUUUAGCAUGCCCGGAGGUUCCUCCUCUCUUUCUGCCUCACUAUACUGACACAGAGUCAGCCUUCGUCCCUCCCCACUGCUCCUACCACAGCCUGGGACACUGUCUGCGCACCAACAUCUUUCCAGGAGCUCCUCUGGUGUGGAAGUCCUUGGUAAAAGACUCCUACAUCAUUCACCCCUUGCCCGCCCCUCCUACAGACCCCCAGCGUUGGUACGGCCGCAAGACUGAUGACAUGGUGAAAUGGACAGAAAGAAACAUUGUGAACCAGAAGUUGAACAAGGCGCUAAAGGCAAUGGAGAACAAAGGGUCUAAAUGAGGCCAUGGUGCAGUGGCCAUUUCACACCCUCACCGCAGCGGCCAUGCACCUUCCACAUCAUUUACACCUCUUUUUACACAUAUAUCUACAUUCAAGCCCUUACAAAUCCUUUCUGGUACACUUGGUCACGUAUGCAUGCACACACACAACCAUUGCCACAAACUCUCAAAACGUACAAAAACAACCCACGCAAAAACAACAAUUUAUAUGUAGACACAAGUUCAUGAUCUCUCUUUUGCCGCAAUAAAAGCAGAACAGCAUCCUUUACUUUAGUUAUCUGAUGUUCUGUGUAUUGUAGGGCUCAUUUACUUCUGAGGGGAUGUAUUCAUAGCUGUCAUCAAAAAAUUUACUCAUAAUACUGAAACCCAC
rnacentral:lncRNA from 8 species